rnacentral:rRNA from 1 species
UGAGGAACAUGACUUUCGGUGGGGAUAGCCGGCCCAACGGCCGGGUAAUACCGCGUACGACCACAUGGGGACAUCCCCGAGUGGUGAAAGCAGCAAUGCGCCGAUGGAGUGCCUCGCGGCCUAUCAGCUUGUUGGUGGGGUAACGGCUCACCAAGGCAACGACGGGUAGCUGGUCUGAGAGGAUGGCCAGCCACAUUGGGACUGAGACACGGCCCAGACUCCUAGUGGAGG